rnacentral:rRNA from 1 species
GACGAACGCUGGCGGCGUGCUUAACACAUGCAAGUCGAACGGUGAAGGGACCAGCUUGCUGGUUCUGGAUGAGUGGCGAACGGGUGAGUAACACGUGAGUAACCUGCCCCCUUCUUCUGGAUAACCGCAUGAAAGUGUGGCUAAUACGGGAUAUUCUGGGUCUGUCGCAUGGCGGGCCCGGGAAAGAUAUUGCUUCGGUGGGGGAUGGGCUCGCGGCCUAUCAGCUUGUUGGUGGGGUGAUGGCCUACCAAGGCGGUGACGGGUAGCCGGCCUGAGAGGGUGACCGGCCACAUUGGGACUGAGAUACGGCCCAGACUCCUACGGGAGGCAGCAGUGGGGAAUAUUGCACAAUGGGCGGAAGCCUGAUGCAGCAACGCCGCGUGCGGGAUGACGGCCUUCGGGUUGUAAACCGCUUUCGCCUGUGACGAAGCGUGAGUGACGGUAAUGGGUAAAGAAGCACCGGCUAACUACGUG